rnacentral:tRNA from 1 species
GGCUAUGUAGCUCAGCUGGUUAGAGCACAUCACUCAUAAUGAUGGGGUCGCAGGUUCGAGUCCCGCCAUAGCCACCA